UACGAGUGCCCCAAGCGUUAUCCGGAAUUACUGGGCGUAAAGGGUGUGUAGGCGGUCGUAUUAGUCUCUUGUUAAAGCCCGGGGCUCAACCUCGGAAUCGCAAGAGAAACGGUACGACUCGAGGGCAUGAGAGGUGCAUGGAACUCACGGUGUAGGGGUGAAAUCCGUUGAUAUCGUGGGGAACACCAAAGGCGAAGGCAAUGCACUGGUAUGUUCCUGACGCUGAGACACGAAAGCUGGGGGAGAGAAGCGG
rnacentral:misc_RNA from 1 species